GACAGUUGCAGCUCCACAGCAGCUAUGGUCCCUUCUUUUCAUGAACAUCAGGCAUGAACCUCAUUUUAAAAUAUAAACAAGCCAGAGGCACACCACAGCGGUACAGAUGCCAGCUCUUUAAUUAACUACCGUCAGUAACAAAAGACAGGAAAGAUGAAGCCAAAACCUUCUCGGCUGCAUGUGAAUAACCACAUUAGAUGAUGCUUGCAGAGCAAAAAGAGGAAAACAAAAUCCUACCAGCAAGACCCUCCUUCAUCUCUCGGUCUUUCUUGAUCCCCGAUGACUUCAUCAUAGGAUGCAUUCUUGCACCGUUAAUGAGAUGAAAAUCAGAUUGUGGCCUUCCACGUGCCUCCUUCCUUCCCCUUCUGCCUCCGAUUACUGUGGAAGGUGGCGCCACAGACCCAUAUGGAUUCAGAAGGACAGCACUCUGCGUGGAAAUUAUGGUAAAAUCUCCAAAUGUGAGUGCAGAUAUUAUAAGCUAUUGUAAAUUUGGAAUGUUCACAAAUCCAGGUAGAAUUGAUCAAGAGAGUGGAUGUCAGUUUUGCUCAAAUUCAUCCAGUGGUCUGACAUUCAAGGAGAAGGACUGCCUUCUCCAGUGUGGGCAAAGGUUUGUGGUACCAGGGUGAAGGGUUUGAGAUCUGUUCAGAUUGGAUUAGUUAUUCUGUAUGAGACAGAUAAUAAUGUAAAGAAAUCAAUACAGAACAGCAUGCUGGUUCUCACCCAGACAGCUUGUGCCACUCUUACAGUACCAAGUGUCACAAUUUAUGUUGCAUGUGAGACACUACUACUAAAAGGACUGA